CACAGCAGGUAAUGUAACUAAUGCUAAGUUGUGGGUUUGCAAACAGUUGCAAGUUACAGUUGCUGCUGCAAAGUUAACAUGCAGAGAGGACGAGAGGGUCCCAGAGCCAGCACACCAGCUCCAAACAGCGAUACUCACACCUCUCCGGCUACUAUACCAAACAUCACAACAACAGCAUAACUAAGUCAGGGCCGUGUAUUCUUUUCAGCGCACACAAAGAACGGACAGCUAGAGGACCAUGAAGAGAUAUUUGCUGAAUUUGACAAAAAGACGUGUAUUGGAUUAGAACCACAUAAACAACCUUUAAUGACUAUGACUUCUGCCCACAAACACAAGCGGUUAAAGACAACAUGUUUAA